CAGAACGAACGCUGGCGGCAUGCCUAACACAUGCAAGUCGAACGAGACCUUCGGGUCUAGUGGCGCACGGGUGCGUAACGCGUGGGAAUCUGCCCUUCGGUUGGGAAUAACACAGAGAAAUUUGUGCUAAUACCUUAUAAUGUCUUCGGACCAAAGAUUUAUCGCCGAGGGAUGAGCCCGCGUAGGAUUAGGUAGUUGGUGGGGUAAUGGCCUACCAAGCCGACGAUCCUUAGCUGGUCUGAGAGGAUGAUCAGCCACACUGGGACUGAGACACGGCCCAGACUCCUACGGGAGGCAGCAGUGGGGAAUAUUGGACAAUGGGCGAAAGCCUGAUCCAGCAAUGCCGCGUGAGUGAUGAAGGCCUUAGGGUUGUAAAGCUCUUUUACCAGGGAUGAUAAUGACAGUACCUGGAGAAUAAGCUCCGGCUAACUCCGUGCCAGCCGCCGCGGUAAUACA
rnacentral:rRNA from 1 species